GACGGACCACACGAACGUUAUUCGGAAUUACUGGGCUUAAAGGGUGCGUAGGCGGUGCAGUAAGUUGGGUGUGAAAUCCCUCGGCUUAACCGAGGAAUUGCGCCCAAAACUACUGUGCUUGAGAAAGAUAGAGGUAAGCGGAACUUAGGGUGGAGCGGUGAAAUGCGUUGAUAUCCUAAGGAACAUCAGUGGCGAAAGCGGCUUCCUGGACCAGCACCGACGUUCAGGCACGAAAGCGUGGGGAGCAAACAGG
rnacentral:rRNA from 1 species